AUUGAACGCUGGCGGCAGGCCUAACACAUGCAAGUCGAGCGGCAGCGGGAAAGUAGCUUGCUACUUUUGCCGGCGAGCGGCGGACGGGUGAGUAAUGCCUGGGAAAUUGCCCAGUCGAGGGGGAUAACAGUUGGAAACGGCUGCUAAUACCGCAUACGCCCUACGGGGGAAAGCAGGGGACCUUCGGGCCUUGCGCGAUUGGAUAUGCCCAGGUGGGAUUAGCUAGUUGGUGAGGUAAUGGCUCACCAAGGCCACGAUCCCUAGCUGGUCUGGGAGGAGGAUCAGCCACACUGGAACUGAGACACGGUCCAGACUCCUACGGGAGGCAGCAGUGGGGAAUAUUGCACAAUGGGGGAAACCCUGAUGCAGCCAUGCCGCGUGUGUGAAGAAGGCCUUCGGGUUGUAAAGCACUUUCAGCGAGGAGGAAAGGUUGAUGCCUAAUACGUAUCAACUGUGACGUUACUCGCAGAAGAAGCACCGGCUAACUCCGUGCCAGCCGCCGCGGUAAGAC
rnacentral:rRNA from 1 species